rnacentral:rRNA from 1 species
CUUUGGGAUAACCCUCGGAAACGGGGGCUAAUACCGGAUAGGACCUUGCCUUGCAUGAGGCUUGGUGGAAAGUUUUUCGGCCUGGGAUGGGCUCGCGGCCUAUCAGCUUGUUGGUGGGGUGAUGGCCUACCAAGGCGACGACGGGUAGCCGGCCUGAGAGGGCGACCGGCCACACUGGGACUGAGACACGGCCCAGACUCCUACGGGAGGCAGCAGUGGGGAAUAUUGCACAAUGGGCGGAAGCCUGAUGCAGCGACGCCGCGUGAGGGAUGACGGCCUUCGGGUUGUAAACCUCUUUCAGCAGGGACGAAGCGCAAGUGACGGUACCUGCAGAAGAAGCGCCGGCCAACUACGUGCCAGCAGCCGCGGUAAGACGUAGGGCGCGAGCGUUGUCCGGAUUUAUUGGGCGUAAAGAGCUCGUAGGCGGCUUGUCGCGUCGACUGUGAAAACCCGCGGCUCAACCGCGGGCCUGCAGUCGAUACGGGCAGGCUAGAGUUCGGUAGGGGAGACUGGAAUUCCUGGUGUAGCGGUGAAAUGCGCAGAUAUCAGGAGGAACACCGGUGGCGAAGGCGGGUCUCUGGGCCGAUACUGACGCUGAGGAGCGAAAGCGUGGGGAGCGAACAGGAUUAGAUACCCUGGUAGUCCACGCUGUAAACGUUGGGCGC